GUCAGGGUAAAGGACACAGGUCUUGACUAUUGAAGGAAGAGGUCACAUGUUUACCAACUCAUCUCAGAAAACAAGUUGUACACAUUAAACAUUUUGACAGAGCAGUCUGCUCCGGUGCGAGUAUGAAACACAUCAGACAUUCUUUUCUUCUAACUAACCAAGACAAUAGAGUUUCUUCACUGGUGGAGUUAGAAUGUGUUUCGUUUGAGGUCAAAAUAGGAUGAGACGAGAGAGACACACUCUGCUCGAUUUUUUUUGGACCACACCGGCGAGGUCAAAAUAGGAUGAGACGAGAGAGACACACUCUGCUCGAUUUUUUUGGACCACACCGGCACUAAAAAUUGCUCUGGUGUUCACCUCACUCCUGCAUAACUCUCAUCCAAACAUCAUAGAAAAUAUGUCCACCAUCUUCCAUCCUUCCUUGUAUGUCCAACCAAACACACCAUUAAAAUACAUAGAGUCGUGCCUAGACACCAUCACACCAUUCUGCAAGGCAGCAACAGCAACAUCUUUCGGCUUCAUUGAAAUCCACAAGUCGAGUAGCAUCAGAAUCACAGCAGCACCAAGGCACCUGCCAGGAUAUUUGUGUAAACAUACAACAUUACCAAGGCCAAAAGUUCAGCAUAUUAUCCUCCUGUAGCUUUAAGCCAAGCACAAGCUUGCUGCUGAUGCAUAGAAGAAACACGAAAAACACUAGGCUAGGAGGUGAUUCACCUCUUCAUUAAAGAAAAACACAUCUUAACUGAAGAGAAACACGAGCAAACAAAUCAGCCACCACGAAAUCACAUUCAUGGUAUAAAACUGGUAAAACAGAAGGCUACAAAAUAUACACUUAACUUUUCCAAUUCGUGAAUGACCAACAAAUGGUUUAUGGAAUAACAACAACUGAGCUAAAUGGUGGCAAACAUCGAGACCUGCUCAUCCCACAGGCACCAUUGCCACCAUCGGGGCAACGUAUUUACUCUCAAAACAAGAUAUGUUCGAGCAGGCGAGCAGAGCAUAUACAACACAGUAUGAAAAGCGUGCAUUUCCUGGUCUUAACAAUCAGCUAAACAUGUAUGGCUAUUAGCUGACAAAGUGAAAAAAUGAAGUGAAUGUUGGGACGUGUUCAUCCCACAGGCACAGCAUAUAAGCCAUAGGGGCAACUAAAAAGUCCCAAAUAUAUGGCAUGUCAUCAGGUUAAACUUAAAGCCUAACGGACACGUUAGAAGCCAACGUGGUUAAAUAAGCAAUUAUCUGUUCCAUCUUAAGGAUCACAAAAGCUGCAGCAAGUGAAUAAUCAGUAGAGAAGGAAUAUUUAUGAAAAUUUCCCAUCCUUAAUGAUUAGCUGAAAACAUAAUAUCAGCUCACAGUCUCUACUACAUGCAGGACAUAGUUUAACAACCACCACUUUAUUAAUAGCCCUUAUAACAGAGCUGCACCCGCAAUAACAGAGCCACAUAAAACAAGUCAAUGACGCAAAGGUGAUAUAGAAUCAGACAGCCACUAAGAAAACGAUUGUGCACAAAAGAAUAUAUCUCAUGCACAUGAGUUUAGCGCCCAGAUUAUGACAUGUCAUCAGGUUAAACUUAAAGCCUAAUGGACAUGUUAUAAGCCAAGGUGGUUAAAUAAGCAAUUCUGAGCUCCAUCUUAAGAAUCACAAAAGCUGCAGCAAAUGAAUGAUCAGUAGAGAUGGAAUAUGUAUGAAAACAUCCCAACCUUAAUGAUUAGCUAAAAACACAAUAUCAGCUCACAGUAAUAAUAAGGUAGUACAUGCUAGGGACCUGUUCAUCCAAAAGGCACUAUGCAAUUGCCAUUGAGCCAGAAAUAAAGUUCCACACUGCACCAAAACUUACAUCUCGCUAAUCCAAAAUAGAGGGUGGGGCUCAAUGCCAUAUUAAUGCCAGACGCAUGCAGAAUGAACACUGGACCAAAGCUUGUUUAUCAUAUCGUCCUCAUGAUCACGGAACGUGGAUAAUCAUGUCAACUUGUUAAGGAAGGCCGAGUUCCUUUAGGGGCUGUUUAGAUCCAUAACUAAUAACUCAAAAUAAAUAAAAGGUUGGCUAAGUUAAAUCCCACUAACUAAGAAUACAAAGAUAAUCAAACUUAUUAGCUUAUAGCCCUGCUAAUAAAAAGCUAUUAGCUGCUUUUUCGAUGAUAUCUAACGGAACCAUUAGUUGAUUGAUGCCAGUGUAGCACCUAAUAUGAGCAAAAGCAGCCAAAUAACAUACAUUGUGCAAAUACGCAAUACAUAUGGUGACAAGUGCAUUCUAAAUGUUUAGCCAUGAGGUUAACUAACAAUGCAACAGUAUGAAUUAAUUUCAAAUAGGCAGAAGAUUGCAACAGAUUGUAGAAGCUAAACUUAUCGAGCAAGGGCAAUGACUAUUGAUACUGAAACAGAUAAUUUAAUGACAGAAGAUGUUUACAUCAGUAAAAUAUUUAUGCAGCACCAUAUUAAUAGCCCUUAUAACAGAGCUGCACGCCUGCACCCGCAAUAACAGAGCCACGUAAAUCAAGACAAUGAUGUGAUAUAGAAUUAGACCCCACUAAGAAAACGAUUAUGCACAAACAGAAGACAGAGCCAUUCAACAAACAACAGAUAUCUUUUUUAUUAAAAAAUACUUCUAAUUUUUCGAAAAGAACAAAUGAAAGGAAAGCAGAGCAUCGCGAAUUGUUUGUUGUUUUGGGGUGAACCCGCGCGGCCAUCAUCGCGCGCGCUCCGACCGCGGGCAGUCGUCAUCGCUCGUCGCCGGCAGCAACCGCGGGUGCCAGCGCCGCCUCUUUCCAACAAACCGCGCCACCAACCCAAUGACCCUUGGAGGUCGGCGGGGGCGACACGGCCAAGGAGGAGCCGGCUCCGGCCGCCGCGGCGCAGCCGGACGGCGCGCUCGGAUAAGAUCAAGUAGUGUUCGUGAGGGCCGAAACCCUAGCUUAUUCGCCCUUCACCCGUGGCCUUUUAUCACAGCGACGAACACUUGGGCCUCACAAGUCACCAGUUUUUCCUUCCUUCUAUGGCCGAGCA
rnacentral:lncRNA from 1 species